rnacentral:lncRNA from 1 species
AAAAUAUUUAUAGCAGAUUGUGUAAGCCACAACCAGAACCCAAAAGAUUUGCGACUGCCUCGCUUAUUCUAAUCGAUUACAUUUAGCAAAUCUAAGUAAAGAAUGUGCAUCCUCUCUAUAGCUCUCUUUGCACCAAAAAUAAAAUAAUAAAAAACAAUUAAGCCUAAUUUUCUGGUAAGAGCUAGGCUUAUCUUCAAAAACUCUGGCAUUAUUUUCCUUCCAUAUGACCCACCAGAUACAAGCAGGAACUACUCUCCACCAUUUCUUCCGUUCAAUAUUUUCCCCUCCAUUGUUCCAGUUACGGAGAAGAGAUAUAGUGUUAUUGGGCAUUGUCCAGCAUAUUCCAUCCAAAUUGAGAUAGAAAUGCCAAAGUUGAAUAGUGACUGGGCAGUGUAUAAAGAGAUGGGAAACUGACUCCUCAUCUUUGCCACAUAGGCUACACCUAGCAUGUAGCUGAAUUUCUCUCCUAAUAAGAUUGUCCUGAGUUAACACAGCUUCCCUUGCUACUAAUUAACCAUGUGAAGCAUAAGACUUUUGUGGGCGCGCUGACCUCCAAAUUUAUUUCCAUGCCCAUCGUUGAGUAGAAUACGGAGUAUUGUUGAUAAAAUGAUAAGCAGAUUUCACUGAAAAAGAUCCUGAUUUGUGACCUUCCACAUUAAAGCAUCUUCCUCUCCUGUGAGACCUUGGAAAGCUUCUAAGGUCUCCCAGAAAUCUAUCACAUUUUACAACUCCCAGUCAUUGAAGUUCCUUCUGAAAAUAAUGUUCCACCCAUGUGUGGAUUUUGCUUCUGCUACUGAGAUUUUUGGAUUCGCAGCAAUGCUAUAUAAUUCUGAAAAUUGAUCUUUCCGAGAAGUGUGCCCAAGCCAUGUGUCAUACCAGAAGAGAACUCUUCUUCCAUUUCCAACCUGGAAACUAGAUGAUCAGCAAUGAAGCUCCAUUAUCCCCUAAUUGUUUUCUAUACACUAACUCCAUGUGGGGAUGAUACUGGUUUGGUGCACCAAGGACCUCCAUGGCCAUACUUCUCGUCUAUCACCC